rnacentral:lncRNA from 12 species
AUGGAAAAAAUUAAUGACUUGAAUUAUACAGCCUGUGAAUCAAAGCCGACAAGAGGGGGAGCGAGGGGGAGACAGGAGGGUGAACUGUUCAUGCUGUCGUCAGCCGCUGGUCCUGAGAGGGACCUGAAAAGUGUCACCCUUCAUGCAGCUGUCACAGCCUUUAUCUUCACGGCAGGGCGGGGCGCUUUGGAUCACGAGCGUGGCACAGUUUCAGGAGUACGAAAGGAGUGCCCCCAGACAGACCUCCACGGCAAACCUCUGUUUUCGAGAACAAAUUCGAGCUUAAGAUUUCAGAAUGUUCGAGCCUGCUCCUUGGAUUCAUAGUAAAUCAGGAGGAGAAAGCAAAAAAAAAAAAAAAGAAAAGGAAAAAGAAAAAGAAUGUCCCUGAGCUAGAUGUGCCUGAAACCUGUUCACGGAGGAAGGAGCCGGGAUCCUAGCAGGCUGUCGUGUCAUGGCAUACGGAGACUGUGUAGGGUCGAGGCCGAAGGCCCAGGGGCUGGUAGCCUCCACGCACACGGAGGGCUGGCUGCUGGGAUUGCACUAUGUCCCCUUUAUCAGUCAGCCAGACUCACAGUCUAUUUUGUCAUUUGUCCUAUGAGUUAGGUCUUACUACUCCUGAAUUACACGUGAGAAAAGAGAUGCGGGCACCUUGCAGUUGCUGGGGUCGGCCACCCAAACCCCAGCCUUGCAGACUCCACAGGCCCUUCUGCGCACACAGACCACGCUGCCCCACUCAGGCCCCCUGGAUGUGCUCUCUGACCGGGCCUCCCCUCCCUGAGGCUCAGGCUUUGGCUUCCCAGCCAUCUUGCUAUUUCUCCGUCUUUCUGUGGUUCCCUGUGCGUGAAUUGUAUCAUAGACAGUAGAAGCCAUGUUCCAGCACAGCCAUGGAGGAGCUUGUACAAGGUGAACGGAAGGUCAAUUUGGGGCCCUUUGCUGACUGUCACCUCCAAAGGAGGGCUGGGUUUGGGGAAAGGAUUCUGGAGAGCACUAACCCCAGGGAGGUGAUGGAGGCCGAGGGUUCUACUCUUGUCUCUAAUCC